rnacentral:misc_RNA from 1 species
GAUGACUCUGAUGGGUAUUAUGGUAACUAUAGCAAUAUAUGGCUAUUUUAAUUUUACUUUGUUCGAGUUUCUUCCUGAAAACGGGCUAAAAUAUUCUGGUAUUAUGGCAUAAAGCAGAAACUAUAUGCAAUUUCAUAUUUCUAGAAUGCGGCAGAAUAAGUAUUAUUUCUUUUAAUCUAUUAUUUCUACCUGAAUAUGUUGUCUGGAUUUUUUUUUUAAAAUCUGUUUCUAUCUAUCCAUAGUUACUUUAUUUGUUUUGUUUUGAAUUACUGUUUUCUGAAGGAAACUAGAAAGAGAAGAUGCAUAUGUUUCUGGUAUUUGUCCUUUGAUGCUAAUUACAUUCACUUUUGUGCAUAUAAUCUUUGUAUUAGGCUAGAUAUUUACCUGUUUAUUUUGAUGGGGCAACACUUGUCGUAGGAGAAGUGAUCCUGCCCAUUACUUGCUGAUUUUUAUCACUGUUCUCCCUGUUAAUAUCACUGGUUACUAAGAUAUAUAUAUUUUUUUCACUUUAGUUUGUUCAUGAAGAAAAUCAUUUGUAGAGCUUUGAAGUUGUUUGUGGUUUAGGCUGAUUCUUUUGCUUCCAUUUGUC